GACGAACGCUGGCGGCGUGCCUAAUACAUGCAAGUAGGACGCAGUUGCGAACGGGUGAGUAACGCGUAGGUAACUACCUAUUAGAGGGGGAUAACUAUUGGAAACGAUAGCUAAUACCGCAUACUAGUAGAUGGACCUGCGUUGUAUUAGCUAGUAGGUAGGGUAAUGGCCUACCUCGGCAACGAUACAUAGCCGACCCUGGAGGGUGUACGGCCAAACUGGGACUGGGACACCGCCCAGACUCCUACCGGAGGCAGGAGUAGGGGAACAUCGGAAAUGGGGGGAAACCUGACCGAGCAACGCCGCGUGAGUGGAGAAAGUUUUCGGGUCGUAAAGCUAUGUUGUUAAGGAAGCGGUACUUAACCAGAAAGGGACGGCUAACUACGUGCCAGCAGCCGCGGUAAUAC
rnacentral:rRNA from 1 species